rnacentral:lncRNA from 1 species
AAAAAUCCUUUCAAAAUAUUGUAGCUCAUUGACAAUGCACUUGGUCUCCUAAGAGCCCCGAUGGAGGUGUACAAGGAGAUUAAUGUUGUUUUCAUGCUUUCUAACGCAACAUCCAUCUUGUAGUCCUGUCAUAUACAGUGAUUUGUCUUAUAGAUGUGGGAAAACUAAAUUGAAAACCUUCUGGAAAGGAUUCACCAUUCUAGAUGCUAUUAAGAACAUUUGUGAUUCAAGGGAGAAGGUCAUUGUAUUAACAUUAACAGAAGUUUGGAAGAAGUUAAUUCCAACCCUCAUGGAUGACUUUGAGGGAUUCAAGACUUCAGUGGAGGAAAUAACUGCGGAUGUGACAAGAAGAGCAAGAGAACUACAAGUAGAAUCUGACAAUGUGACUGAAUUACUGCAAUAUCAUGAUAAAAUUUGAAUGGAUGAAGAGUUGCUUCUUAUGGAUGAGCAAAGUAACUGGUUUCUUGAGAUGGAAUUUACUUCUGAUGAAGAUGCUGUGAAUGUUGUUGAAAUGACAACAAAAACUUCAUUUGUAUUCAUUACCAACCUCUCUUCAUCCUCCUCUCCCCUCUUCCUUCGCAGCUUCUGGUAAUCACCAUUCCUCUCUCUAUCUCCAUGAGAUCCACUUUUUUUAGCUCCCAUAUGAGUGAGAACAUGCUACAUUUGACUUCCUCUGACUGUUUUAUUUCACUGAACAUAAUGACCCCAAAUUCCAUCCAGUUGCUGCAAAUGACAGAAUUUCAUUCUUUUUUAUGGCUGAAUAAUAUUCCAUUAUGUAUGUAUACUACAUUUUCUAUACCUAUUCAUCCAUUGAUGGACACCUAGGUUGACUCC